ACGAACGCUGGCGGCGUGCCUAAUACAUGCAAGUCGAACGAACGGAGGAAGAGCUUGCUCUUCCAAAGUUAGUGGCGGACGGGUGAGUAACACGUGGGCAACCUGCCUGUAAGUUGGGGAUAACUCCGGGAAACCGGGGCUAAUACCGAAUGAUAGAGUGUGGCGCAUGCCACGCUYUUGAAAGAUGGUUUCGGCUAUCGCUUACAGAUGGGCCCGCGGUGCAUUAGCUAGUUGGUAGGGUAAUGGCCUACCAAGGCAACGAUGCAUAGCCGACCUGAGAGGGUGAUCGGCCACACUGGGACUGAGACACGGCCCAGACUCCUACGGGAGGCAGCAGUAGGGAAUCUUCCGCAAUGGACGAAAGUCUGACGGAGCAACGCCGCGUGUAUGAAGAAGGUUUUCGGAUCGUAAAGUACUGUUGUUAGAGAAGAACAAGGAUAAGAGUAACUGCUUGUCCCUUGACGGUAUCUAACCAGAAAGC
rnacentral:rRNA from 1 species